GACGAACGCUGGCGGCGUGCUUAACACAUGCAAGUCGAACGGAAAGGCCCUGCUUGCAGGGUACUCGAGUGGCGAACGGGUGAGUAACACGUGGGUGAUCUGCCCUGCACUUCGGGAUAAGCCGGGGAAACGGGGCCAAAUACGGAAAGGAACCCAUGUUAGGUGUGAGGGUUGGAAGGUUUUUUCGGUGUAGGAUGAGCUCGGGUCGUAUCGGCUUGUUGGUGGGGUAAUGGCCUACCAAGGCGGCGACGGGUAGCCGGCCUGAGAGGGUGGACGGCCACAUUGGGACUGAGAUACGGCCCAGACUCCUACGGGAGGCAGCAGUGGGGAAUAUUGCACAAUGGGCGCAAGCCUGAUGCAGCGACGCCGCGUGGGGGAUGACGGCCUUCGGUUUGUAAACUCCUUUCGCUAGGGACGAAGCUUUUUGUGACGGUACCUAGAUAAGAAGCACCGGCUAACUACGUG
rnacentral:rRNA from 1 species